GGUUUACCUGUGUGACUGCGUACCUUUUGUAUAAUGGGUCAGCGACUUAUAUUCUGUAGCAAGGUUAACCGCAUAGGGGAGCCGGAGGGAAACCGAGUCUUAAUUGGGCGUUAAGUUGCAGGGUAUAGACCCGAAACCCGGUGAUCUAGCCAUGGGCAGGUUGAAGGUUGGGUAACACUAACUGGAGGACCGAACCGACUAAUGUUGAAAAAUUAGCGGAUGACCUGUGGCUGGGGGUGAAAGGCCAAUCAAACCGGGAGAUAGCUGGUUCUCCCCGAAAGCUAUUUAGGUAGCGCCUCGUGAAUUCAUCUCCGGGGGUAGAGCACUGUUUCGGCUAGGGGGCCAUCCCGGCUUACCAACCCGAUGCAAACUGCGAAUACCGGAGAAUGUUAUCACGGGAGACACACGGCGGGUGCUAACGUCCGUCGUGAAGAGGGAAACAACCCAGACCGCCAGCUAAGGUCCCAAAGUCAUGGUUAAGUGGGAAACGAUGUGGGAAGGCCCAGACAGCCAGGAUGUUGGCUUAGAAGCAGCCAUCAUUUAAAGAAAGCGUAAUAGCUCACUGGUCGAGUCGGCCUGCGCGGAAGAUGUAACGGGGCUAAACCAUGCACCGAAGCUGCGGCAGCGACGCUUAUGCGUUGUUGGGUAGGGGAGCGUUCUGUAAGCCUGUGAAGGUGGCCUGUGAGGGUUGCUGGAGGUAUCAGAAGUGCGAAUGCUGACAUAAGUAACGAUAAAGCGGGUGAAAAGCCCGCUCGCCGGAAGACCAAGGGUUCCUGUCCAACGUUAAUCGGGGCAGGGUGAGUCGACCCCUAAGGCGAGGCCGAAAGGCGUAGUCGAUGGGAAACGGGUUAAUAUUCCCGUACUUGGUGUUACUGCGAAGGGGGGACGGAGAAGGCUAUGUUGGCCGGGCGACGGUUGUCCCGGUUUAAGCGUGUAGGUGUGUGUUCCAGGUAAAUCCGGUUCACUUUAACACUGAGGCGUGACGACGAGGCACUACGGUGCUGAAGCAACAAAUGCCCUGCUUCCAGGAAAAGCCUCUAAGCAUCAGGUAACAUCAAAUCGUACCCCAAACCGACACAGGUGGUCAGGUAGAGAAUACCAAGGCGCUUGAGAGAACUCGGGUGAAGGAACUAGGCAAAAUGGUGCCGUAACUUCGGGAGAAGGCACGCUGACAUGUAGGUGAAGUGAUUUACUCACGGAGCUGAAGUCAGUCGAAGAUACCAGCUGGCUGCAACUGUUUAUUAAAAACACAGCACUGUGCAAACACGAAAGUGGACGUAUACGGUGUGACGCCUGCCCGGUGCCGGAAGGUUAAUUGAUGGGGUCAGCGCAAGCGAAGCUCCUGAUCGAAGCCCCGGUAAACGGCGGCCGUAACUAUAACGGUCCUAAGGUAGCGAAAUUCCUUGUCGGGUAAGUUCCGACCUGCACGAAUGGCGUAAUGAUGGCCAGGCUGUCUCCACCCGAGACUCAGUGAAAUUGAACUCGCUGUGAAGAUGCAGUGUACCCGCGGCAAGACGGAAAGACCCCGUGAACCUUUACUAUAGCUUGACACUGAACAUUGAGCCUUGAUGUGUAG
rnacentral:rRNA from 1 species